CCUACGGGGGGCAGCAGUUAGGGAUCUUGCGCAAUGGGCGGAAGCCUGACGCAGCGACGCCGCGUGGGGGAGGACGGCCCUCGGGUCGUAAACCCCUUUUCCCGGGGACGAGGACGGACGGUACCCGGGGAAGAAGCACCGGCUAACCCCGUGCCAGCAGCCGCGGUAAUACGGGGGGUGCGAGCGUUGUCCGGAUUCACUGGGCGUAAAGGGCGCGUAGGCGGCCCGCUCAGUCCGGUCUCUAACCCCCGGGCUCACCCCGGGGUCGGGUCGGGGACGGGCGGGCUGGGGGCCGGUCGAGGGAAGCGGAAUGCCGGGUGUAGUGGUGAAAUGCGUAGAGAUCCGGCGGAACACCGGUGGCGAAGGCGGCUUCCUGGGCCGGGCCCGACGCUGAGGCGCGAGAGCGCGGGGAGCGAACCGGAUUAGAUACCCUGGUAGUC
rnacentral:rRNA from 1 species